rnacentral:rRNA from 1 species
ACCCGCUGAACUUAAGCAUAUCAGUAAGCGGAGGAAAAGAAAAUAACAAUGAUUGCCUUAGUAACGGCGAGUGAACCGGCAAUAGCUCAAAGUGUAAAUCUGUUGCACACAGUAACAGAAUUGUAAUCUAAAGGCUUUUUAGGUAAGUCAUGGUUCUCGCAUAAGUUCCUUGAAAAGGGGCGUCAUAGAGGGUAAAAACCCCGUGUUCGGCGAGGACUGGAUGUACCGAAGGGCUCCAAGAGUCGGGUUGUUUGGAAUUGCAGCCCUAAAUGGGAGAUAAACUUCUCCUAAAGCUAAAUAUUAAUGGGAAACCGAUAGCAAACAAGUACUGCGAAGGAAAGAUGAAAAGAACUUUGAAAAGAGGGUUAAAAGACUUGAAAUCGUUGAGAAGAAAAGCGGUAGAAGAGAAAUGUGUUCACGAGGAUUAUGCAUCGGAGUAAAGCCAGCCAGUGGUUAGGUACUUCAUAGGGCCGGCUAUUGGCUAGGUGUAGCUUGGGUGCUUUUUCCCAGUGAAAUGCACAAUGAGGUUUUAUUCUAGGAAACCUUCUCAAAAAGUCUCUGGUCUUGAUACUGGAAGAUUGAGUAAGACACUAGAAUUUAGCCUGAGGGUCCUGAUGGAGAUUGUGCAAAAAAGGCUUCUACCGACCCGUCUUGAAACACGGACCAAGGAGUCUACCGCAUAUGCAAGUCUUAGGGUGGAAAAACCCGAAGGCGUAACGAAAGUGAGUAUAAGGUGUGAACCUGUAGAGGGGCAACACCAACCAACCUUGAUUCUCGAAUGAAGGGAUUGAGUAAGAGCAUAUUUGGUAGGACCCGAAAGAUGGUGAACUACACUUGAGUAGGGUGAAGCCAGGGGAAACUCUGGUGGAGGCUCGAAGCGUUACUGACGUGCAAAUCGUUCGUCAAACUUGAGUGUAGGGGCGAAAGACUAAUCGAACCAUCUAGUAGCUGGUUCCCUCUGAAGUUUCUCUCAGGAUAGCAGGAACAAUAACGCAGUUUUAUCAGGUAAAGCGAAUGAUUAGAGGAAUCGGAGGUCCUAGACCUUUGACCUAUUCUCAAACUUUAAAUUGGUAAGAACUUGGAGUUUCUUAAUUGAACUCUGAGGAAGAAUGCGGUGUUCUUAGUGGGCCGUUUUUGGUAAGCAGAACUGGCGAUGAGGGGUGAACCUAACGCUGAGAUAAGGUGCCAAAAUUCGCGCUCAUCAGAUACCAUAAAAGGUGUUGGUUCAUUUAGACAGCAGGACGGUGGCCCUGGAAGUCGGAAUCCGCUAAGGAGUGUGUAACAACUCGCCUGCCGAAUGAACUAGCCCUGAAAAUUUAUGGCGCUAAAGCGCGAUACCGAUACUCAGCCAUCAUAGUAAAUGUGAGACUAUGAUGAGUAAGAGGGCGUGAGCACAGUGCAGAAGCCUUUGACGUGAGUCUGGGUGGAACUGUGUUUAGUGUAGAUCUUGGUGGUAGUAGCAAAUAUUCAAAUGAGAACUUUGAAGACCGAAGUGGAGAAGGGUUCCAUGAGAACAGCAGUUGGUCAUGGGUUGCUCGAUCCUAAGACAUAGGGAAAUUCCUUGAUAAUACAAGGACUGUAUAGUCCGUUGUCAAAAGGGAAUGAGGUUAAUAUUCCUCAAGCUGAUCGCGGAUUUCGUGUGGCAACACAAGUGAGCCCGGCAACAUCGGCAUGACCCCCUGGAAGAGUUCUCUUUUCUUUUUAACAGAUUAUGGCCCUGAAAUUGGAUUAUCCAGAGCUAGGGCUGUAUGUCUGGCAGAGCAGCUCACCCUAAGAGCUGUCAGGUGCGUUCAUGACGAUCCUUGAAAAACCGGGGGAGAGGUAAUUGCGCGACAGAUCGUACCCAUAACCGCAUCAGGUCUCCAAGGUU